rnacentral:rRNA from 1 species
GACGAACGCUGGCGGCGUGCUUAACACAUGCAAGUCGAACGGAAAGGCCCUGCUUUUGUGGGGUGCUCGAGUGGCGAACGGGUGAGUAACACGUGAGUAACCUGCCCUUGACUUUGGGAUAACUUCAGGAAACUGGGGCUAAUACCGGAUAGGAGCUCCUGCUGCAUGGUGGGGGUUGGAAAGUUUCGGCGGUUGGGGAUGGACUCGCGGCUUAUCAGCUUGUUGGUGGGGUAGUGGCUUACCAAGGCUUUGACGGGUAGCCGGCCUGAGAGGGUGGCCGGGCACAUGGGGACUGAGGGACGGCCCAGACUCCUACGGGAGGCAGCAGGGGGGAAUAUUGCACAAUGGGCGGAAGCCUGAGGCAGCAACGCCGCGUGCGGGAUGACGGCCUUCGGGUUGUAAACCGCUUUCGCCUGUGACGAAGCGUGAGUGACGGUAAUGGGUAAAGAAGCACCGGCUAACUACGUG